rnacentral:rRNA from 1 species
CCUACGGGAGGCAGCAGUGGGGAAUAUUGCACAAUGGGCGCAAGCCUGAUGCAGCAACGCCGCGUGAGGGACGACGGCCUUCGGGUUGUAAACCUCUUUUAGUAGGGAAGAAGCGAAAGUGACGGUACCUGCAGAAAAAGCACCGGCUAACUACGUGCCAGCAGCCGCGGUAAUACGUAGGGUGCAAGCGUUGUCCGGAAUUAUUGGGCGUAAAGAGCUCGUAGGCGGUUUGUCGCGUCUGCUGUGAAAACCCCGAGGCUCAACCUCGGGCCUGCAGUGGGUACGGGCAGACUAGAGUGCGGUAGGGGAGAUUGGAAUUCCUGGUGUAGCGGUGGAAUGCGCAGAUAUCAGGAGGAACACCGAUGGCGAAGGCAGAUCUCUGGGCCGUAACUGACGCUGAGGAGCGAAAGCAUGGGGAGCGAACAGGAUUAGAUACCCUGGUAGUCCAUGCCGUAAACGUUGGGAACUAGAUGUAGGGACCAUUCCACGGUUUCUGUGUCGCAGCUACGCAUUACGUUCCCGUCCGUCGGGUAGGUACGGCCGCGAGACGUAAACUACAAGAAGUAGACGGCGUGAGACGUGCCGACGGACGACGACGAGGGAGGUAGG